rnacentral:rRNA from 1 species
GAUGAGGACACUUGGUCUGGCUUCUGGUCAGCACUGAGUGGUCCGAGUCCUUUUUCUGGGGAAUCAAGGUGCUCUUCACUGAGUGCCUUGAGGAGCCAGGACGAUUACCUUGAAAAAAAUAGAGUGUUCAAAGCAGGCUAUUGCUUGAAUAUCUUAGCAUGGAAUAAUAAAAUAGGACUUUGGUUCUAUUUUGUUGGUUUUAAGGACCAAUGUC